UACGUAGGUGGCAAGCGUUGUCCGGAUUUACUGGGCGUAAAGAGCGCGCAGGCGGUCGUUCAAGUCGCGUGUGAAAGCCCCCGGCUCAACUGGGGAGGGUCACGCGAUACUGAUCGACUCGAAGGCAGGAGAGGGUAGUGGAAUUCCCGGUGUAGUGGUGAAAUGCGUAGAUAUCGGGAGGAACACCGAUGGCGAAGGCAGCCCCCUGGGUCAAGACUGACGCUCAUGCACGAAAGCGUGGGGAGCAAACAGG
rnacentral:rRNA from 1 species